rnacentral:snRNA from 1 species
GGAUGUGAGGGUGACCUGGCUGUGACAUCUGUCACCCCAUUGAUCACCAAGGUUGAUUCGGCUGAUCUGACUGGCUAGGCGGGUGUCCCCUUCCUUCCUCACGGCUCCAUGCAUGUCUCUCCCGAAGCUGGGCGCUCAGUCAGAGGAUGAUCUUCCCCGAUAUAGGAGGACCGUUCUUCGGUCAAGUGUAUACAAGUAGCUGCACUCCCCUGCUAGAAACUCCAAACAAGCUCUCAAGGUCCAUUUGUUGUUUGUAUUCGUAAUAGCUGCUUUUCUGACUGGAAUGAGAUGAAAUCUUAGAGUAGUUUUGAUUUGAAUU